AUACGGAGGGUCCAAGCGUUAUCCGGAUUCAUUGGGUUUAAAGGGUCCGCAGGCGGGAAAAUAAGUCAGUGGUGAAAGCCUACAGCUCAACUGUAGAACUGCCAUUGAUACUGUUUUUCUUGAGUAUAGAUGAAGUGGGCGGAAUAUAUCAUGUAGCGGUGAAAUGCAUAGAUAUGAUAUAGAACACCGAUUGCGAAGGCGGCUCACUAAACUAUUACUGACGCUCAGGGACGAAAGCGUGGGGAGCGAACAGGAUUAGAAACCCUAGUAGUCC
rnacentral:rRNA from 1 species